UUUGUACACUCUGCAUAGAGAAGUCUGAAAUUCCAACAAAAACCAACCGGAUCUUCACCAAAUUCUCUCAAAAUAUUUAGUGGCUGUCAACGAAGAUUUUUAUUAGUUGUCAAAUUCUUCUCUAUAACAUCGGUGGGUUUACCAGAGUCCUCUCAAUCCGUUAAGAGGUUUAUUUCUUUCGCAGAGUUGAUGGUGAAAGAAUUUUAUGGAUCGUCAAUGAAUUUGAAGAGGUUUGAAUUUGGAGAAAGAAGAAGAAGAAGGAGAGAAAAUGGG